GAUAAAUAUAAAUAAACAAACUAAUAGAAAUCCAACUCCAACAGGAGUUAGAUAUCCAAAGAUUACCACCAAAGCCCGUGCAAACAUUUCUGGCGCCUUAGGCGAAAACAAAUUUGCCUCCUCAUUUGCUUCACGCAAUCACGCAGACUAACACACACACUGACUCAAGUAGACACACACUGACCAUGCAAACUGACACACACGUACUAAGCUAUGUAGACUGACGCUCACAGACUCAUAUACACACACUGAUCCAUGCAGACACACACAUACAGACACACUGACCCAUGCAGAAACACACACAUACAGACACACUGACCCAUACAGACACACACACAAUGACCCAUACAGACAGACACACUGACCUAUACAGAUUGCCAUAUAUAAACAUACUGACUGAAGCAGACCUACACACAUUCUCUGUCAUACCUUACCUUCAUUGCCUGAUUGAAGCGCCCAGCGCUGCCGCAAUACAUGUCUGGGAGGGGGUCCUGGCUGAGCGGGCUGUGG